UUUCAUACCCUGAGAAAGAGAGAGGAGGUAGGCAGAGAAAAACAGAGAGGAAGUUAACAAACAGAUACCACACAGAACAACAAGGCGGCAAAGGAAGAAGAGUGACCACACCACAAAGACAGCAUGAAGACAAGAUCCAGGUGAAGAAGAAGUGGGAGUGUACUGUACCAGGUGAAGAAGAAGUGGGAGUGUACUGUACCAGGUGAAGAAGAAGUGGGAGUGUACUGUACCAGGUGAAGAAGAAGUGGGAGUGUACUGUACCAGGUGAAGACGUAGUGGGAGUGUACUGUACCAGGUGAAGAAGUAGUGGGAGUGUACUGUACCAGGUGAAGACGUAGUGGGAGUGUACUGUACCAGGUGAAGACGUAGUGGGAGUGUACUGUACCAGGUGAAGAAGUAGUGGGAGUGUACUGUACCAGGUGAAGAAGAAGUGGGAGUGUACUGUACCAGGUGAAGAAGAAGUGGGAGUGUACUGUACCAGGUGAAGAAGAAGUGGGAGUGUACUGUACCAGGUGAA